AUUGCAGGUGGAUUCUUUACCAGCUGAGCUAUCGGGGAAGCCCUGAAGAGGUCCUUCACUGCGUAUGAUCAACACCAGGUGGGGGGACGGCUCCCUGCGAGGAGGCUGCAGCCAGGAAUCCCACCGGCGUGAGGGUUGCACACCAGGUGACUUUUGCAAGCUCUUCCAGCCCAGAGCGCGCACCGAUCCUUGGAUGCAGGAGGUUUCACGGAGCCUUCAGAGGGGUUCGCCUGGAUCGGGAGAUCGUGGUCACGGCUGCAGGGGACCAGGCACUCCAGGACUCAGGGGGGCUCAUUUACUGACUCAUCCUCCCCAGCUCUCUUAGCUGGCCCAGAGUCCAGCUUCCGGGGCCCCAGGAACGUCACAAACAAGCC
ensembl:lncRNA